GGAGUGGAUUGAGUGAUCGCUUGUAUUUUACAUACAAGAGGAAAGUCCGAACUCCUAAGGGAAUUGAUGCUGGGUAACGCCCAGAUGUCGAAAGGCAAUGGAAAGUGCCACAGAAAAUAACCGCCAUUAAUAAACACGUGAUAUUAACGGUAAGGGUGAAAAGGUGGUGUAAGAGACCACCGCAGUUUUGGUAACAAAUUCUGGCUAGGUAAACCCCAUCAGGAGAAAGACCAUGUAUAGAAGCUGGUAUCCCUUCCAAAUGCUUCGGGGUAGGUCGCUAAAGGUAAUAAGUAAUUAUUGCCUUAGAUAGAUGAUCACAUAGAACAGAAUUCGGCUUACUAAUCCACUCACUUA
rnacentral:RNase_P_RNA from 1 species